rnacentral:rRNA from 1 species
GAUUUUUUCAUUAAUCAAGAACGAAAGUUAGGGGAUCGAAGACGAUCAGAUACCGUCGUAGUCUUAACUAUAAACUAUGCCGACCAAGGAUUGGAAGAAAGUAAUAAAUUCUUUCAGAACUUUAUAAGAAAUUAUAAGUUUUUAGGUUCUGGGGGGAGUAUGGUCGCAAGGCUGAAACUUAAAGGAAUUGACGGAAGGGCACCACCAGGAGUGGAGCCUGCGGCUUAAUUUGACUCAACACGGGGAAACUUACCAGGUCCAGACACAGUUAGGAUUGACAGAUUGAGAGCUCUUUCUUGAUUCUGUGGGUGGUGGUGCAUGGCCGUUCUUAGUUGGUGGAGUGAUUUGUCUGGUUAAUUCCGAUAACGAACGAGACCUCAGUUUAUUAAUUAAAUAAUAAGGGUUAACUUGUUAUUUUCUUAAAAAGACACUUGGUGUUUAACCAAGGGAAGUUUGAGGCAAUAACAGGUCUGUGAUGCCCUUUAGAUGUUCUGGGCCGCACGCGCGCUACACUGAUAAAAUCAAUAAGUUUAAACCUUAAUUGAAAAAUUUAGGUAAACUUAAAAAAUUUUAUCGUGCUGGGGAUUGAUAAUUAUAAUUACUUAUCAUGAACGAGGAAUUCCUAGUAAACGUAAUUCAUCAACUUAUGUUGAUUACGUCCCUGC